rnacentral:lncRNA from 1 species
UUAUACAAACCCGAACUCAAACCCGAACCCGAACCUGAAUCCAAAUGGAGCAAAUUUAUCUGAUGUUAAACGGAUAUGGUUUCGGAUAUGAAUAUCAAAAAUAAAAACAAUAUCAAAAACAAAAACCCGACAAAUAUGAAUUCGAAUAUGGAUUUUAACUGUACCUGUUAAAUAUAAAAAUGUUUAAAAACACCGUUCUCUAAUAGCUUAAGCUUUUAGAGUAUAACGGUUGUUUCACAUGGUAUCAGAGCAGGUGGUCCUGAGUUCGAGUCAUGCCAGGCUCCUAGCAUAUUAAUUUCCUUCCAUUUAAUUCAAGCCCACGUCAUGGACCGAUUAAAAAGUUUCGAGCCCAGACGUGAGGGGGAGCUUAAGCUUUUAGAGUACAACGGUUGUUUCACAGUACCCGAUCCGAACCGGAACCCAACCCGAACCGGACACAAAUCCGAAUUUAUUCUACAUUAUAUAUAAUAUGUAUAUAAAAAUUUGAUGUUAUAUUUGAAUUUAUAUUUUAAAAAUUUUAAUUUAAUAUAAUAUAUUUUGAAAUGUUAAAAAGAGAAAUAAUUGUUUUGGUUUCGAAUUUUUGGAUUUGGGUUUGGGUUCAGGUUUCGAAUUUUUUAUUGGGUUUGGAUUUGGAUAUGAAUUUUUAAAAUCCAUCGGAUUCGAAUUCGAAUUCAAAUUUCAGAUUUGGAGUCGAGUUCUAAUUUGAAUUUUAAAAAAUUCGCUCCGAAUUCGACCCGUUGAUAUU